rnacentral:rRNA from 1 species
UUUCCAGACUCCUACGGGAGGCAGCAGUGGGGGAUAUUGCACAAUGGGGGAAACCCUGAUGCAGCGACGCCGCGUGGGCGAAGAAGUCUUUCGGUAUGUAAAGCCCUAUCAGCAGGGAAGAAGAAAUGACGGUACCUGAGUAAGAAGCACCGGCUAAAUACGUGCCAGCAGCCGCGGUAAUACGUAUGGUGCAAGCGUUAUCCGGAUUUACUGGGUGUAAAGGGAGCGCAGGCGGCACGGCAAGCCUGAUGUGAAAGCCCGCGGCCCAACCGCGGGACUGCAUUGGGAACUACCGGGCUGGAGUGCCGGAGAGGUAGGCGGAAUUCCUAGUGUAGCGGUGAAAUGCGUAGAUAUCAGGAGGAACACCGGUGGCGAAGGCGGCCUGCUGGACUGCAACUGACGUUGAGGCCCGAAAGCGUGGGGAGCAAACAGGAUUAGAUACCCUAGUAAA